rnacentral:piRNA from 1 species
CUCAGGUUGAGAGUGAGCUGCUGUGAGCC